AAAGGAAUAGACGGGCACCCGCACAAGCGGUGGAGCAUGCUGUUUAAUUCGAAGAUACGCGAAGAACCUUACCUAGACUUGACAUCCCGGGCAAAGCUAUAGAAAUAUAGUGGAGGUUACCCCGGUGACAGGUGGUGCAUGGUUGUCGUCAGCUCGUGUCGUGAGAUGUUCGGUUAAGUCCGAUAACGAGCGCAACCCUUAUCUUUAGUUGCUAACAUUUAGUUGAGUUCUCUAAAGAUACUGCCGGUGACAAACCGGAGGAAGGUGGGGAUGAUGUCAAAUCAUCAUGCCCCUUACGUCUAGGGCUACAGGCGUGCUACAAUGGCCGAUACAAUGAGAAGCAAUACUGUGAAGUGGAGCAAAUCUCCAAAAUCGGUCUCAGUUCGGAUUGGACUCUGCAACUCGAGUCCAUGAAGUUGGAAUCGCUAGUAAUCCUGAAUCAGAAUGUCAGGGUGAAUACGUUCCCGGGUGUUGUACACACCGCCCGU
rnacentral:rRNA from 1 species